rnacentral:rRNA from 1 species
UACGGAGGGUGCAAGCGUUAUCCGGAAUUACUGGGUUUAAAGGGUGCGUCGGCGGCAACGUAAGUCAGAAGUGAAAUCUCUCGGCUUAACUGAGGAACUGCUUUUGAUACUGCGUAGCUUGAAUAAGGUUGAGGUCAGCGGAAUGUGGCAUGUAGCGGUGAAAUGCUUAGAUAUGCCAUAGAACACCAAUUGCGAAGGCAGCUGGCUAGACCUGUAUUGACGCUGAGGCACGAAAGCGUGGGGAGCGAACAGG